rnacentral:rRNA from 1 species
GAGGGGAAACGACAUCGAAAGCUUGCUUUUGAUGGGCGUCGACCGGCGCACGGGUGAGUAACGCGUAUCCAACCUGCCCACCACUUGGGGAUAACCUUGCGAAAGUAAGACUAAUACCCAAUGACGUCUCUAGAAGACAUCUGAAGGAGAUUAAAGAUUUAUCGGUGAUGGAUGGGGAUGCGUCUGAUUAGCUUGUUGGCGGGGUAACGGCCCACCAAGGCUACGAUCAGUAGGGGUUCUGAGAGGAAGGUCCCCCACAUUGGAACUGAGACACGGUCCAAACUCCUACGGGAGGCAGCAGUGAGGAAUAUUGGUCAAUGGACGAGAGUCUGAACCAGCCAAGUAGCGUGCAGGAUGACGGCCCUAUGGGUUGUAAACUGCUUUUAUAAGGGAAUAAAGUGAGUCUCGUGAGACUUUUUGCAUGUACCUUAUGAAUAAGGACCGGCUAAUUCCGUGCCAGCAGCCGCGGUAAUACGGAAGGUCCGGGCGUUAUCCGGAUUUAUUGGGUUUAAAGGGAGCGUAGGCCGGAGAUUAAGCGUGUUGUGAAAUGUAGAUGCUCAACAUCUGAACUGCAGCGCGAACUGGUUUCCUUGAGUACGCACAAAGUGGGCGGAAUUCGUGGUGUAGCGGUGAAAUGCUUAGAUAUCACGAAGAACUCCGAUUGCGAAGGCAGCUCACUGGAGCGCAACUGACGCUGAAGCUCGAAAGUGCGGGUAUCGAACAGGAUUAGAUACCCUGGUAGUCCGCACGGUAAACGAUGGAUGCCCGCUGUUGGUCUGAAUAGGUCAGCGGCCAAGCGAAAGCAUUAAGCAUCCCACCUGGGGAGUACGCCGGCAACGGUGAAACUCAAAGGAAUUGACGGAAGG